AUUGAACGCUGGCGGCAUGCUUUACACAUGCAAGUCGAACGGCAGCACGAAAGAGCUUGCUCUUUUGGUGGCGAGUGGCGAACGGGUGAGUAAUGCAUCGGAACGUACCGAGUAAUGGGGGAUAACUGUCCGAAAGGAUGGCUAAUACCGCAUACGCUUUGAGAAGGAAAGUGGGGGCUCUUCGGACCUCACGUUAUUCGAGCGGCCGAUGUCUGAUUAGCUAGUUGGUGGGGUAAAGGCCUACCAAGGCGACGAUCAGUAGCGGGUCUGAGAGGAUGAUCCGCCACACUGGGACUGAGACACGGCCCAGACUCCUACGGGAGGCAGCAGUGGGGAAUUUUGGACAAUGGGCGCAAGCCUGAUCCAGCCAUGCCGCGUGUCUGAAGAAGGCCUUCGGGUUGUAAAGGACUUUUGUUAGGGAAGAAAAGGAUAGUGUUAAUACCAUUAUCUGCUGACGGUACCUAAAGAAUAAGCACCGGCUAACUACGUG
rnacentral:rRNA from 1 species